UUAUGCCUGGCUCCCUGUAUGCCACAAGCCGACACCAAUCUCUACGUGGAUUGGCUCUUGCCGGUGGCGUGCGAGGAGCCAAGCAUAC
rnacentral:pre_miRNA from 1 species